rnacentral:rRNA from 1 species
AUUGAACGCUGGCGGCAGGCCUAACACAUGCAAGUCGAACGAUGAAGCCCAGCUUGCUGGGUGGAUUAGUGGCGAACGGGUGAGUAACACGUGAGCAACCUGCCCCUGACUCUGGGAUAAGCGCUGGAAACGGUGUCUAAUACUGGAUAUGUCCCAUCACCGCAUGGUGUGUGGGUGGAAAGGUUUUUCGGUUGGGGAUG